rnacentral:rRNA from 1 species
UACGAACUGUGCGAACGUUAUUCGGAAUCACUGGGCUUACAGGGUGCGUAGGCGGCUCAACAAGUCAGGUGUGAAAGCCCCCGGCUCAACCGGGGAACUGCGCUUGAAACUGUUAGGCUCGAGUCAGCUAGAGGUACACGGAACUUCCAGUGGAGCGGUGAAAUGUGUUGAUAUUGGAAGGAACACCGGAGGCGAAAGCGGUGUACUGGGGCUGGUCUGACGCUGGAGGCACGAAAGCCAGGGGAGCGAACGGG